rnacentral:rRNA from 1 species
UACAUGGGGUGCAAACGUUGCUCGGAAUUAUUGGGCGUAAAGAGCUCGUAGGCGGUCUGUCGCGUCGGCUGUGAAAACCCGGGGCUCAACCCCGGGCCUGCAGUCGAUACGGGCAGACUAGAGUGUGGUAGGGGAGACUGGAAUUCCUGGUGUAGCGGUGAAAUGCGCAGAUAUCAGGAGGAACACCGGUGGCGAAGGCGGGUCUCUGGGCCAUAACUGACGCUGAGGAGCGAAAGCGUGGGGAGCGAACAGG